GAUGAACGCUGGCGGUAGGCCUAACACAUGCAAGUCGAACGGCAGCACAGUAAGAGCUUGCUCUUACGGGUGGCGAGUGGCGGACGGGUGAGGAAUACAUCGGAAUCUACUUUUUCGUGGGGGAUAACGUAGGGAAACUUACGCUAAUACCGCAUACGACCUACGGGUGAAAGCAGGGGAUCUUCGGACCUUGCGCGGUUGAAUGAGCCGAUGUCGGAUUAGCUAGUUGGCGGGGUAAAGGCCCACCAAGGCGACGAUCCGUAGCUGGUCUGAGAGGAUGAUCAGCCACACUGGAACUGAGACACGGUCCAGACUCCUACGGGAGGCAGCAGUGGGGAAUAUUGGACAAUGGGCGCAAGCCUGAUCCAGCCAUACCGCGUGGGUGAAGAAGGCCUUCGGGUUGUAAAGCCCUUUUGUUGGGAAAGAAAAGCAGCAGGUUAAUACCCCGCUGUUCUGACGGUACCCAAAGAAUAAGCACCGGCUAACUUCGUG
rnacentral:rRNA from 1 species